rnacentral:rRNA from 1 species
AGUGCGUAAUAGCUCACUGGUCGAGUGAUCCUGCGCCGAAGAUUUCCGGGGCUAAAACUUACUACCGAAGCUACGGCAUCAGUAAUGAUGGGUAGGGGAGCUUCCCAUACGGGUUGAAGCAUGACCGUAAGGACAUGUGGACAGUAUGGGAGUGAGAAUGUUGGCAUGAGUAGCGAGAUGUGGGUGAGAAGCCCACAGGCCGUAAACCCAAGGUUUCCAGGGGAAGGUUCGUCCGCCAUGGGUUAGUCGGGACCUAAGCUGAGGCCGAAAGGCGUAGGUGAUGGACAACAGGUUGAUAUUCCUGUACUACCGAUAACC